UGAGUACGAGAUGCUACGGCAUCGAAGCAGUCUAUGUCAUACUUCCAAGAAAAGCUUGCAAUGUCAUAAACAAAUAAUGCCUGUACCAUAACCGACACAGGUGGGUAGGUAGAGUAUACUAAGGGGCGCGAGAUAACUCUCUCUAAGGAACUCGGCAAAAUGACUCCGUAACUUCGGGAGAAGGAGUGCCUUAUUUUUAUAAGGUUGCAAUAACAAGAUCCAAGCAACUGUUUACCAAAAACACAGGUCUCCGCUAAGUCGUAAGACGAUGUAUGGGGGCUGACGCCUGCCCAGUGCCAGAAGGUUAAAGAAGUUGGUUAGCAUUAGCGAAGCUGAUAACUGAAGCCCUGGUGAACGGCGGCCGUAACAAUAACGGUCCUAAGGUAGCGAAAUUCCUUGUCGGGUAAGUUCCGACCCGCACGAAAGGCGUAAUGAUUUGGAUACUGUCUCGGAGAGGGGCUCGGUGAAAUAGACUUGUCUGUGAAGAUGCGGACUACCUGCACCUGGACAGAAAGACCCUAUGAAGCUUUACUGUAACUUGAGAUUGAAAUUGGACUUUAUCUGCGCAGUAUAGGUGGGAGACGUUGAAAAUAUUCUUGCGGGAAUAUUGGAGUCAUCAGUGAGAUACCACUCUUAUAAUGUUAGAUUUCUAACUUUGUAUCAUUAUCUGGUCAAAGAACAGUUUCAGGCGGGCAGUUUGACUGGGGCGGUCGCCUCCCAAACGGUAACGGAGGCGCACAAAGGUUUCCUCUGAACGUGUAGAAAUCGUAUCUAGAGUGUAAAGGCAUAAGGAAGCUUGACUGUGAGACCUACAAGUCGAGCAGGGACGAAAGUCGGUCUUAGUGAUCUGACGGUGCUGAGUGGAAAGGCCGUCACUCAACGGAUAAAAGUUACUCUAGGAUAACAGGCUGAUCUCCCCCAAGAGUUCACAUCGACGGGGAGGUUUGGCACCUCGAUGUCGGCUCAUCGCAUCCUGGGGCGGUAGUACGUCCCAAGGGUUGGGCUGUUCGCCCAUGAAAGCGGUACGCGAGCUGGGUUCAGAACGUCGUGAGACAGUUCGGUCCAUAUCCGGUGUAGGCGUUAGAAUAUUGAGAGGAGCCUUCUUUAGUACGAGAGGACCGAGAAGGACAUACCUCUGGUGUACCAGUUAUCGUGCCAACGGUAAACGCUGGGUAGCCAUGUAUGGAGAGGAUAACCGCUGAAAGCAUCUAAGUGGGAAGCCCACCUCAAGAUAAGUAUUCUCAU
rnacentral:rRNA from 1 species